GCGCUGGUGGUGUAAGGCGAACAUCGCUGCUCGGAAAGCAGAAGAUGUGGGUUCGAGUUCCGCCUCGCCCA
rnacentral:tRNA from 1 species